GUCAUAUGCUUGUCUCAAAGAUUAAGCCAUGCAUGUCUCAGUACAAGCCAAAUUAAGGUGAAACCGCGAAAGGCUCAUUAAAUCAGUUAUGGUUCCUUAGAUCGUACCCACAAUUACUUGGAUAACUGUGGUAAUUCUAGAGCUAAUACAUGCCAACAGAGCUCCGACCGGAGACGGAAGGAGUGCUUUUAUUAGAUCAAAACCAAUCGGUGGCGGGUGUUCGCGCGCUCGUCAUCGUACAACUUGGUGACUCUGAAUAACUUUACGCCGAUCGCACGGUCAUCGCACCGGCGACGCAUCUUUCAAAUGUCUGCCUUAUCAACUGUCGAUGGUAGGUUCUGCGCCUACCAUGGUCGUAACGGGUAACGGGGAAUCAGGGUUCGAUUCCGGAGAGGGAGCCUGAGAAACGGCUACCACAUCCAAGGAAGGCAGCAGGCGCGCAAAUUACCCACUCCCGGCACGGGGAGGUAGUGACRAAAAAUAACGAUACGGGACUCAUCCGAGGCCCCGUAAUCGGAAUGAGUACACUCUAAACCCUUUAACGAGGAUCAAUUGGAGGGCAAGUCUGGUGCCA
rnacentral:rRNA from 1 species